rnacentral:rRNA from 1 species
UAGAGAGACUGCCGGUGACAAACCGGAGGAAGGUGGGGAUGACGUCAAGUCCUCAUGGCCCUUAUGGGUAGGGCUUCACACGUCAUACAAUGGUGCAUACAGAGGGUUGCCAAGCCGCGAGGUGGAGCUAAUCCCAGAAAAUGCAUCGUAGUCCGGAUCGUAGUCUGCAACUCGACUACGUGAAGCUGGAAUCGCUAGUAAUCGCGGAUCAGCAUGCCGCGGUGAAU